rnacentral:rRNA from 1 species
UUGUGGGAGCAAGAGCCCGGAGAUGGAUUCUGAGACACGAAUCCAGGCCCUACGGGGCGCAGCAGGCGCGAAAACUUUACAAUGCAGGAAACUGUGAUAAGGGAACCCCGAGUGCCCGUAUGGACGGGCUGUUCAGGUGCUUAAAAACCACCUGGAGAAAGGGCCGGGCAAGACCGGUGCCAGCCGCCGCGGUAAUACCGGCGGCUCGAGUGGUGGCCACUAUUACUGGGCUUAAAGCGUCCGUAGCUUGGUCGUUAAGCCUCUGGGGAAAUCUUCCGGCUCAACCGGAAGGCGUCUCAGGGGAACUGGCGACCUAGGGAUCGGGAGAGGUGAGAGGUACUCUGGGGGUAGGAGUGAAAUCCUGUAAUCCUCAGGGGACCACCUGUGGCGAAGGCGUCUCACCAGAACGACUCCGACAGUGAGGGACGAAAGCUGGGGGAGCAAACCGGAUUAGAUACCCGGGUAGUCCCAGCCGUAAACUAUGCGCGUUAGGUGGUAUUGGGAAUUCCUGCAGC